CCUACGGGAGGCAGCAGUGAGGAAUAUUGGUCAAUGGGCGAAAGCCUGAACCAGCCAUGCCGCGUGCGGGAUGACGGCCCUAUGGGUCGUAAACUGCUUUUGCAUUGGGAUAACCCCCCCCACUUGUAGAGGUUUGCAGGUACCGUGCGAAUAAGGGCCGGCUAAUUCCGUGCCAGCAGCCGCGGUACUACGGAGGGUCCGAGCGUUAUCCGGAUUUAUUGGGCUUAAAGGGAGCGUAGGCGGGCGUUAAAGUCAGCUGGAAAAUCGCGGGCCUAAACCCGGAACCGCAGUUAAUACUGGACGACUAGAGUGCAGUAGAGGUAGGCGGAAUUCGUGGUGUAGCGGUGAAAUGCGGAGAGAUCAGGAGGAACACCGAUUGCGAAGGCAGCCUGCCGGGGUACGACUGACGCUGAGGCACGAAGGUGCGGGUAGCAAACAGGAUUAGAUACCCCAGUAGUC
rnacentral:rRNA from 1 species